AUUGAACGCUGGCGGCAUGCUUUACACAUGCAAGUCGGACGGCAGCACAGAGAAGCUUGCUUCUUGGGUGGCGAGUGGCGAACGGGUGAGUAAUAUAUCGGAACGUACCGAGUAAUGGGGGAUAACUAAUCGAAAGAUUAGCUAAUACCGCAUAUUCUCUGAGGAGGAAAGCAGGGGACCUUCGGGCCUUGCGUUAUUCGAGCGGCCGAUAUCUGAUUAGCUAGUUGGUGGGGUAAAGGCCUACCAAGGCGACGAUCAGUAGCGGGUCUGAGAGGAUGAUCCGCCACACUGGGACUGAGACACGGCCCAGACUCCUACGGGAGGCAGCAGUGGGGAAUUUUGGACAAUGGGCGCAAGCCUGAUCCAGCCAUGCCGCGUGUCUGAAGAAGGCCUUCGGGUUGUAAAGGACUUUUGUCAGGGAAGAAAAGGUUGUUGCUAAUAUCGACAGCUGAUGACGGUACCUGAAGAAUAAGCACCGGCUAACUACGUG
rnacentral:rRNA from 1 species